rnacentral:ncRNA from 1 species
UUACCCCCCUUCAACAAUUUAGGCAUAGCCGGGUUAUAUAAAUAUAACUCGAAUUUCGCUAUAUGCUGGAAUCUCCUUAGAGCCUAAUCAACUAGAGUUUUUAUACUAACAAAAUUCAGUAAAAUAGAUUAGGAUUGGACAAUCAGCAGGAAACCAAAAGAGUUUUAAUCAAAUUCUGAGUAGGAUCCUCAGAGACUACAUGCGAAACACCUUUUUUACAUGUAAUAUAUAUGUUGGUGAUCACCAACUAUACAAUGUAUAUAUAUUACAACUAAAUAAUGAAGAGGUGAAGAUAUAGUCCGACUUUACAGGAAACUGUAGA